AGUCGACCACAUUAAAAAAUGACUUCCAUCCAAAGUAGAUGAAUCACUCAGAAGGAAGAAGAACACAAAAAGCAUACAGCACAUAGUUAGUGAGGAUGGAAAUUUCUAGUUCUCUCAUGUCUAUGGAAGUAUGGCACGCAAAUACACACACAUGCAGAGAGAGUGAAACCCAGUGCACCGCAAUGCCAAUAAUCUAGUUUCUGCAUCUAAUUUCACCACUAGCAUUAUUGAACAAACAUACUUUCAGCAGUUGCGCACUUCCAGUAAACAAUGAAUCACUGGUAGGGAAGAAGAAUACAAGAAGCAUACAGCACAUAGUGAGGAUGGAAAUUUCUAGUUCUCUCAUGUCUAUGGAAGUAUGCUGCGCAAAUACACACACAGGCAGAGAGAGAGAGAGAGAGAAGUACAUUUGUUAUGUGUGCAAAAACCCAGUGCACCGCAAUGCCACUAAUCUAGUUUCUGUCCGCUAAUUUCACUACUAGCAUUACUGAACAAACAUACUUUUCAGCACUUGCACACUUCCAGUAAACAAUGAAUCCUUGAGAAAUGUCAUCCAACGUUCUCCUAAGUAAAUGAUUGUCUAAAAGUCACAGCAUUCUCUUUAGGCUGUGUUUG
rnacentral:lncRNA from 1 species